UUGGAAGCCGUCUAGACGCGGGUGGUCUGAACCGUUGAAGGCUGGACAUUGCUGUUGAUGAAGACCGUGCCGAGCACGACGUCGUGCAGCAGCCGGCGACGGCCGUUGAACAGACCCACCAGCAGCACCAGCGGACUGAGGAACGAGACCGACACCCAGUACAGAACCGCGUGAACCGCACCGAGGAUGAAGUAAGGCCGCUCG
rnacentral:misc_RNA from 1 species